ACGAAGGUCCCAAGCGUUGUUCGGAAUUACUGGGCGUAAAGCGUGCGUAGGCGGCGAGGUAAGUCAGAUGUGAAAUCCCGGGGCUCAACUCCGGAACUGCAUCCGAUACUGCCUUGCUAGAGUAAUGGAGGGGCAUCUGGAAUUCACGGUGUAGCAGUGAAAUGCGUGGAUAUCGUGAGGAACACUAGUGGCGAAGGCGAGAUGCUGGACAUUUACUGACGCUGAGGUACGAAGGCUAGGGUAGCGAACGGG
rnacentral:rRNA from 1 species